UACGUAGGUGGCAAGCGUUGUCCGGAUUUACUGGGCGUAAAGAGCGCGCAGGCGGUCGGAUAAGUCGAAUGUGAAAGCCCCCGGCUCAACUGGGGAGGGUCAUUCGAUACUGAUCGACUCGAAGGCAGGAGAGGGAAGUGGAAUUCCCGGUGUAGUGGUGAAAUGCGUAGAUAUCGGGAGGAACACCAGUGGCGAAGGCGACUUCCUGGCCUGUUCUUGACGCUGAGGCGCGAAAGCUAGGGGGAGCAAACGGGG
rnacentral:rRNA from 1 species